GUGCUCACUUUGGCAGCAUAUAAACUAAAAUUGGAAUAAUACUGAGAAGAUUAGCAUGGCUCCUAUGAAAAGAUGGCAUGCAAAUUCAUGAAGCGUUCCAUAUUUGG